GCAAACUUGGUCAUUUAGAGGAAGUAAAAGUCGUAACAAGGUUUCCGUAGGUGAACCUGCGGAAGGAUCAUUAAAAAAUCUCCCGAGCCGCAAGGCUCUAUUAUUUUGUGAAACGUCUGUGGUGGAACUUGUGGCCAUGGAUGCGGGAAGGCGGUUUGUCCGCCUUGCUUGUGUCUAGCCACCCCGGUUCCUGCCAUACAUAAUUGUAUUAUUUUUUAAACUUUGUAUGCUUUGAUGUUGAGGAAUGUGUGUUGCGUUAUUCGCAGCAAUGAUAAUAUAUAUACAACUUUCAACAGUGGAUCUCUCGGCUCUUGCAUCGAUGAAGAACGCAGC
rnacentral:misc_RNA from 1 species